rnacentral:rRNA from 1 species
CAAUAGCGUAUAUUAAAGUUGUUGCAGUUAAAAAGCUCGUAGUUGGAUUUCUGGUUGAAGCGACCGGUCGGGCGUUGAUUCGUCUGCACUGGAGUCGGUUUUGGCCAUCCUCUAGGAAAGUGCGUCUGGUAUUAAGUUAUCGGGCGUAUGAUCCUGGUCUUUUACUGUGAAAAAAUUAGAGUGUUUAAAGCAGGCCUUAGCCUUGAAUACAUUAGCAUGGAAUAAUAAGAUAGGACUUUGGUCUAUUUUGUUGGUUUGCAGACCGAAGUAAUGAUUAAUAGGGAUAGUUGGGGGUAUUUAUAUUCCGAUGUCAGAGGUGAAAUUCUUAGAUUUUCGGAAGAUAAACUUAUGCGAAAGCAUUUACCAAGGAUGUUUNCAUUA